AAAACAAAAAAAAAAAAAAAAAACCAAACAUAUACAGAGACAGCAACAUACAGGCAGAUGUCAACUAGAUCACUUCUUUUUUUUUGAGAUU
rnacentral:ribozyme from 1 species